rnacentral:rRNA from 1 species
CACCAAGGAGGUACAGUUAUAUAUUAAUGGUAAAAAGACAGUUAAACUACAAUUAGUGUUUAUUGCAUACUUAUAAAAAGGUAGAAUUUGAAUAUAAAUUAGCAAUCUAAUAAUAACUAGGAAGUUGAAGCUGUGACAACCUUGAGGGAAACUGGGAUUAGAUACCCCAUUAUUCUUGGUUAUAAAUUAACUUUGUUUACCAGAGCACUAUGAAUAAUAAAAUUUAAAACUCAAAGGGCUUGGCGGUGUUUUAGACCCUUCAGGGGAACCUGUCUCAUAAUCGACAAUCCACGUUGGACCUAACCUCUUUUUGCUUAAACAGUUUGUAUACCGUCGUCGUCAGGUAACUUUCAAAAAUUUAGAAGUUAGCAACUAGAACGAUUUAAGUUAAAACGUCAGAUCAAGGUGCAGCUAACAAAGAGGUGAGGAUGGGUUACAAUUAUAGAUUUAUAAAACGGAUUAUUGAAUGAAAUACUCACUAUGAAGGAGGACUUGAAAGUAAAGUAUGUCAUAAGAAUUGCUUGAAUAUGGCUCUGAAACGUGC